rnacentral:tRNA from 1 species
GUCACGAUAGCUCAAGUGGUAGAGCAGCGGCGUUUUUCGCCGAAGAUCGUGGGUUCGAAUCCCGCUCGUGACA